rnacentral:misc_RNA from 1 species
GAUGAAGAACGUAGCGAAAUGCGAUAAGUAAUGUGAAUUGCAGAAUUCAGUGAAUCAUCGAAUCUUUGAACGCACCUUGCACCCUUUGGCAUUCCGAAGGGUAUGCUCGUUUGAGUGUCAUUGUACUCUCACACUUCCAAUCUUUGGAUUGGGAGCGGUGGACUUGGGUGUUGCUGCUUACUGUGGCUCACCUCAAAUCGAUUCGUGCACCUCUUGGUUGGACAUAGUUCGGCGUGAUAAGUGUCUUCGCCGGCACCUCAGUAGAGGGUGGCUGAUCAGGAGCUCUGUGCUUCAAACCGUCCUCGGACAACAACUGACAACUUGACCUCAAAUCGAGUAGGACUACCCGCUGAACUUAAGCAUAUCAAUAAGCGGAGGA